AAGAUUUCACUCUAGUCUGCAAGCUGAAGUAACCUUUGGUUUUACUUACAAAAAGUAGGGUAGUUUUCCCAGAUCUUGUUCUAAACAUCAUCUCUUUAAGAGGCAACAACUGAAAUACAUACUUACAGAUCACACUAUCAGCUGCGGGCCCUUGUCCUUUCUUACCAAACAGUUUUGGAUUCCACUGAUGUGUCUACAGUGCUUUUCAAGAUGGUGCACCUUGACACCAACAUUAGCACUAAAUUUGUUAUAUAUCAUUGUGUUUAGCAUCUGUUCAAUGACGUAUGCAUUCUGUACCACCUUACGCUAAUAAGCUCUUUACAAGAAAAUAUAGCAGUUUUGUAAAAUUUGAACAGACUGUUGUGAUAACUAAUUAAAAUGCAACUUUAUCCAGUUGUUUAAAGAACUUGCAUGAACUUCUGUGUACAAAGCUCAUACAGUUGUGACAAAUCUAAACUUAAUCUAUAAAAGCUUGCACACUAUCACUGUAUUAGUUUAAUGCUGCUUAUCUUCUGUUAAUUAGAAGUUUGUAAACAGUACUUGAUGCUGGAAAGUAGAAGUAAAAUGGCAGCACAGAGAGCAGCACUAAAAGAAAUACUCAGGGCUGGUCUACACUACGGGAUAAAAUCGAUUUUAGAUACGCAAUUUCAGC